rnacentral:misc_RNA from 1 species
GUCCAAGUAAAGUAUUCUCAUCCACUUGGGAACAUCAAGAUUUAAAUGAAUGCCUGUGAUAUUCCACAACUUCUGGAAACUUCGAAUUAUUUGCACUGCAUAUCUCCAAAUGAAUGAUAAACGCCUGUGCCACUUUUUGCCAAAAUGAAUAAAUGCUGCUUUAAAAGUUUCUUUGGCUGAUACAGGGAAAAUACUGCAUGGCUCCACUUUAUCAGUUCUUGCAAUAACAUCAUCAACUGGCAUA